rnacentral:rRNA from 1 species
AACAGGAUUAGAUACCCUGGUAGUCCACGCCCUAAACGAUGUCUACUAGUUGUCGGGUUUUAAUUAACUUGGUAACGCAGCUAACGCGUGAAGUGGACCGCCUGGGGAGUACGGUCGCAAGAUUAAAACUCAAAGGAAUUGACGGGGACCCGCACAAGCGGUGGAUGAUGUGGAUUAAUUCGAUGCAACGCGAAAAACCUUACCUACCCUUGACAUGUACGGAAGCCACGAGAGAUCGAGGUGUGCUCGAAAGAGAACCGUAACACAGGUGCUGCAUGGCUGUCGUCAGCUCGUGUCGUGAGAUGUUGGGUUAAGUCCCGCAACGAGCGCAACCCUUGUCAUUAGUUGCUACGAAAGAGCACUCUAAUGAGACUGCCGGUGACAAACCGGAGGAAGGUGGGGAUGACGUCAAGUCCUCAUGGCCCUUAUGGGUAGGGCUUCACACGUCAUACAAUGGUACAUACAGAGGGCCGCCAACCCGCGAGGGGGAGCUAAUCCCAGAAAGUGUAUCGUAGUCCCGAUUGUAGUCUGCAACUCGACUACAUGAAGUUGGAAUCGCUAGUAAUCGCGGAUCAGCAUGUCGCGGUGAAUACGUUCCCGGGUCUUGUACACACCGCCCGUCACACCAUGGGAGCGGGUUUUACCAGGAGUAGGUAGCUUAACCGCAAGGGGGGCGCUUACCACGGUAGGAUUCGUGACUGGGGUGAAGUCGUAACAAGGUAACC